GCUUAGCUAGCUCAGCUGGUAGAGCAUGAGACUCUUAAUCUCAGGGUUAAGUG
rnacentral:tRNA from 1 species